UCUUGGUCANUUAGAGGAAGUAAAAGUNGUAACNAGGUUUCCGUAGGUGAACCUGCGGAAGGAUCAUUAUCGUUAAACCGAGGCGCGAGGGCUGUCGCUGACCUUUCCCGGUCGUGCACGCCCGAGCCCUCUCACACAAUCCAUCUCACCCUUUGUGCAUCACCGCGUGGGUCCCCCUUUGCCGGAGGGCCCGCGUCUUUACACAAAACUCGAUACAGUGUAGAAUGUUUAUUUUCGCCGUCGCACGCGAUCAAUAAUACAACUUUCAACAACGGAUCUCUUGGCUCUCGCAUCGAUGAAGAACGCAGCGAAAUGCGAUACGUAAUGUGAAUUGCAGAAUUCAGUGAAUCAUCGAAUCUUUGAACGCACCUUGCGCCCCUUGGCAUUCCGAGGGGCACACCCGUUUGAGUGUCGUGAAAUCUUCAAAAACCCUCUCUUUUGAGGUUUUUUGGACUUGGAGGUUCAAUGCUCGCUUUCUUCUUUUAGGAAGCGAGCUCCUCUCAAAUGAAUCAGUGGGGUCUGCUUUGCCGGUCCUUGACGUGAUAAGAUGUUUCUACGUUUUGGAUUCGACAUCGUCCCGCUCCCAAUCGUCCCACGGACAAAAGGAUGGUGCUCCGGUCGCGGGUCAUCGCUCGCGGCUGGACCCACGAAAAAAACCUUGACCUCAAAUCGGGUGAGACUACCCGCUGAACUUAAGCAUAUCAAUAAGCGGAGGAAAAGAAACUAACAAGGAUUCCCCUAGUAACUGCGAGUGAAGCGGGAAAAGCUCAAAUUUAAAAUCUGGCGGUCUUUGGCCGUCCGAGUUGUAAUUUAGAGAAGCGUCUUCCGCGCUGGACCGUGUACAAAGUCU
rnacentral:rRNA from 1 species